CCUACGGGAGGCAGCAGUGGGGAAUAUUGCACAAUGGGGGAAACCCUGAUGCAGCGACGCCGCGUGAGUGAAGAAGUAUUUCGGUACGUAAAGCUCUAUCAGCAGGGAAGAAAAUGACGGUACCUGACUAAGAAGCCCCGGCUAACUACGUGCCAGCAGCCGCGGUAAUACGUAGGGGGCAAGCGUUAUCCGGAUUUACUGGGUGUAAAGGGAGCGUAGACGGCAGCGCAAGUCUGGAGUGAAAUCCCAUGGCUUAACCAUGGAACUGCUUUGGAAACUGUGCAGCUAGAGUGCAGGAGAGGUAAGCGGAAUGCCUAGUGUAGCGGUGAAAUGCGUAGAUAUUAGGAGGAACACCAGUGGCGCCGGCGGCUUACUGGACUGUAACUGACGUUGCGGCUCGACAGCGUGGGGAGCAAACAGGAUUAGAUACCCUUGUAGUC
rnacentral:rRNA from 1 species